AUCUGUGGGCGAGCAGUCAGAGACAGGUGCGGUGGAACUUUCACCUUCGGACAAUCCACUACACAAAUUGGCGUCACGAACAGGAUGGUUUAGAAGCUACAGGUCGACAGCCGCUCUCGCUAUCUCUGUCAGGCAGACAGUGUGCUGCACGCGCGCAUAACAAGAUUAGGUCAAACAACGGCACCUAUUUUGAGAAAACAGGUUAAUCUUCUUCAGUCACAAGAUCAGCACUUCUCAGGACCAGCAGCUUCCUAGGAAGGUGGAAAGACCAUGAGACCAAAAUGGUAAGUUUGCAAAAUGUAGAAUUUGUGUGCCAGUUCCUCUGUGCAGAUUUGAGGAUGAAAGCAGCCACUCCAGAUUCCCUUGCACUCGCUAAGAGGGGCACGGUCAAAGCCGAUCCAGGACCAACACCCGAUACCUGACUGGAAGGAACCGAGAGGAGAGACAACACCUUGCCAGCGAUGACGAGAACGACUAAGGUUGCCAGCCAAUAUGUGUCCGUCGGGAUUCCAGCAGCUGUGGAAGGAGGCCCUGAAGCAAGCCGAGGGCCUGGACCAAAGCCCCAUGCCCCAUACUCUUCCCCAGCCUUCCCCAAAGCCCCCACAGCUCCAACUUUUUCUCAGCUUUUCCCUAAUUUCGGCCAGCACGGACAUGCCAUUGCACAGUCUGCCCAAUGGACUGAACCACACCCCAGGAAGAGACAGAGACAGACUGUUUGAGUGGAUCUCUUUCUUCACCAGGGCAGCCGAAAGCCCAACGAGGUGUCGGCAGGCCAUCAGCCUGAGGCACCACCGAGCCAUCUAUACGAGCUCUAAUCGAACAUGGACUCAUACGAAAUUCAGUUGUGUGUUCAAAAUCAAUUGAUAAUUAACAAUAUUGGUAACUACAUUCAUUGCAAAUGCCGGGAAAAAUAUUUUUGCAAAUGUCUUACAGUCAUAAGUCUAUAUACAUUCAUCUAUUUAUGUUCAUGAUCAAAGUAUUUGUUAUUCCUUUACUAAAUCAAAGGGUAGGCCACUAAUUGUGUUCUGUGAGAUGGUUUUACUGCAGGCUGGUAACAGCGAUCGCUCUGAAGGAGGGUCAUAGACGGAAUUUUUGCCUCGUAUAAAAACAUUGAGGUUUUUGCCUCUAUCUGCGGUGGAGAUUUAAGUUAGUGGUCUAUAUCAGAAAUUGUUUUGGUCCAGGGUCUUGAGACCCUGGAAGGCGGGUAUGUAGUAGAAUUUCUGACCUUUUGACCUAUAUUUCUUGUCUUUUAAGAAUGUCCGCUCAUUUUCAAUUCUCUUGUAUUUUGUGCCAUUGAAUGGACCAGUUGUGGGACAAAAGUGAAUAUUAAGUCGUGCCAACCUGUCUACAGAAUGUGUUGACUGUCUAAAAGAUUCGAGUUGUUAUGGAACAGAUAGGAAAAAGAUAAAAGACAUUGACGCACUCGAUAAGGAACGAUGACGCACAAAAGACAUAUAAAA